rfam:Felis catus isolate Cinnamon breed Abyssinian chromosome B4, whole genome shotgun sequence.
CCAAAAUAUUAUAUUUUUUCUAUAAAAAGGGAAAAAAAGGAAAAAAAUA